rnacentral:rRNA from 1 species
AAGGAGGAGCUUGCUUCUCCGGAAUGAGUUGCGACCGGGUGAGUAACGCGUAGGUAACCUGCCUGGUAGCGGGGGAUAACUAUUGGAAACGAUAGCUAAUACCGCAUAAGAGUAGAUGUUGCAUGACAUUUGCUUAAAAGGUGCAAUUGCAUCACUACCAGAUGGACCUGCGUUGUAUUAGCUAGUUGGUGGGGUAACGGCUCACCAAGGCGACGAUACAUAGCCGACCUGAGAGGGUGAUCGGCCACACUGGGACUGAGACACGGCCCAGACUCCUACGGGAGGCAGCAGUAGGGAAUCUUCGGCAAUGGACGGAAGUCUGACCGAGCAACGCCGCGUGAGUGAAGAAGGUUUUCGGAUCGUAAAGCUCUGUUGUAAGAGAAGAACGAGUGUGAGAGUGGAAAGUUCACACUGUGACGGUAUCUUACCAGAAAGGGACGGCUAACUACGUGCCAGCAGCCGCGGUAAUACGUAGGUCCCGAGCGUUGUCCGGAUUUAUUGGGCGUAAAGCGAGCGCAGGCGGUUAGAUAAGUCUGAAGUUAAAGGCUGUGGCUUAACCAUAGUACGCUUUGGAAACUGUUUAACUUGAGUGCAAGAGGGGAGAGUGGAAUUCCAUGUGUAGCGGUGAAAUGCGUAGAUAUAUGGAGGAACACCGGUGGCGAAAGCGGCUCUCUGGCUUGUAACUGACGCUGA